rnacentral:lncRNA from 1 species
AUACCUAAUGCCUGCUAUUUCAUUACAUCUAUCUUGAAAAGCAAUAAUUAAAUUACAAGAACAUGAUCAAACAAAAUCUCAAUAAUCAAGUAUGACAAACAAAACUAGAGAAACAUGUUCUGGUGGUAAGAAUACCAAGAUUGUCACAAUACAAAUCAGAUUCUAUAACAGAAAACCUUAUUUAAAAGGACUUUAUCUGCUCUACAAGCAAGAAUUUCGAGCAGCAAACAAGUGGUCCUAGGUCAUAGUUCACCAAUAUGAAAGCAGCGCAGCUGUAGCACUAGACAUAUCCCUAUCAUCCACUGGGUUAAAACGUUAAUAAUACAAGUGAAAAAAAACUACCUGACAUAGCAAAAAGAGGAGGACAAACUGUCAUGUUACAAAAGCUGGAUUCAGUCUUCACAAGCAAAUGUCACAUGUUAUAACAUCAUGUCUCAACUUUUGAGGCAACCCCUUUGUUUGCAUACUGGCAGAGAAAGGCAAACAAAUACUAACUGAAAGUGUUUUUUGUUUCAAAAAAGGUUGAAAAGCUUUUGCACUAAAAAGUUUUUCAAAUUUUCCUAAAAGUGAAUCACUUCUUUCUAAUAGAGUUGGCCUUUUCCUACUUUGGUGACUCGAAUCCACAAUCUUAUGGUUGGAGGUGGAGGAUCUUUAUAAUUCAUUUGUCCCUCCCUGUUGAGAAUGCAAAUCUAAACAGUCAUUGUUAGGCAAGUAAACAAGAAAAGGAAGAAAGCACAGAGAUAAGAACAGUGGUCUGACAAAUCUUUGGCUUUAAUAUAGCCCAAGAAUUGAUACAUUGAAACUACAUUAGUUCGAGGUGAGUGCUUAAGUAUAAUAUGAGUAAUAUAAGUUCCCAUAUAGCAGUAGAUACUCUAGGAUAUUUUAAGAAUGAGACGGUUGAACUAUCAGUUUGAUAAAAACAUAAAGAGAAGCCAACACCGACAUCAAAUGCUUAAGCACUUUAGAUCAGAACUGCUUUUAUGCGCUGGAAAAUAGCUGACUUUUUCAGAGUCAUUGGCCAUAAAUUUAGACAGAGCCAAUAAGUUUAAAACCUACAGAAGGAAAAUAAACACAGUUCGCCUCAAAAUUGACUGUUACUUUGUACAAGUUCAACACCGGAAAGAUUCAUUGAAGCAUUAAGCAGAAGCCAAAAACAGCAUCAAGGAAAACAUGGGAUGCUAAAAAAUUUCAACAAGCAGAAAAGAAUACCAAUGUAAUAGAGAAAAAGAGAAAGAAAUAAAAUUACAUCAAACCAAACUAAUCAAAUAUUAAGAAACAAUAUUGAAAUCAAAAAGCACAAGAAAUAAACCAAUAUUGAAAGCGUAAUUCUAACAACACCUAGGUGAAGAAAAAGAAUGAGAUUAACAUACCUCUCAGAAUAAUCAGAAGACAUGCAACAACAAUCUCCCUUUUUUAAGAACCUCUACAAUCAAGAAUCGCGUUUGUUUCACGAAACCUAGCUUCGUUUGGACAGCUUCUUCGACUCGACCAUAAAAUUGAUUUUCAAAUUUGGGUAUUUUGGUCUAUCUUUGAGAUGAAUCUAUAGGGAAACGGAGGAUUUUAAGAUGAAUCUAUUUCUGAAUUUGGAUUUUAGGAGUUAAAGAGAGGAUUUUGAGGAAUGAAUUUUGAGAGGAAAAAAUGGUGGAAAUGGGUCUCGUUCUGAAAAUCGAGUGCAGGUGAG